rnacentral:rRNA from 1 species
AUUGAACGCUGGCGGCAGGCCUAACACAUGCCAGUCGAGCGGAUGAAGGGAGCUUGCUCCUGGAUUCAGCGGCGGACGGGGGAGUAAUGCCUAGGAAUCUGCCUGGUAGUGGGGGAUAACGUCCGGAAACGGGCGCUAAUACCGCAUACGUCCUGAGGGAGAAAGUGGGGGAUCUUCGGACCGCACGCUAUCAGAUGAGCCUAGGUCGGAUUAGCUAGUUGGUGGGGUAAAGGCCUACCAAGGCGAGGAUCCGUAACUGGUCUGAGAGGAUGAUCAGUCACACUGGAACUGGGACACGGUCAAGACUCCUACGGGAGGCAGCAGUGGGGAAUAUUGGACAAUGGGCGAAAGCCUGAUCCAGCCAUGCCGCGUGUGUGAAGACGGUCUUCGGAUUGUAAAGCACUUUAAGUUGGGAGGAAGGGCAGUAAGUUAAUACCUUGCUGUUUUGACGUUACCAACAGAAUAAGCACCGGCUAACUUCGUG